rnacentral:miRNA from 2 species
UACCCGUAAUCUUCAUAAUCCGAG